GACGAACGCUGGCGGCGUGCUUAACACAUGCAGGUCGAACGGAAAGGCCCUGCUUUUGUGGGGUGCUCGAGUGGCGAACGGGUGAGUAACACGUGAGUAACCUGCCCUUGACUUUGGGAUAACUUCAGGAAACUGGGGCUAAUACCGGAUAGGAGCUCCUGCUGCAUGGUGGGGGUUGGAAAGUUUCGGCGGUUGGGGGUGGACUCGCGGCUUAUCAGCUUGUUGGUGGGGUAGUGGCUUACCAAGGCUUUGACGGGUAGCCGGCCUGAGAGGGUGACCGGCCACAUUGGGACUGAGAUACGGCCCAGACUCCUACGGGAGGCAGCAGUGGGGAAUAUUGCACAAUGGGCGGAAGCCUGAUGCAGCAACGCCGCGUGCGGGAUGACGGCCUUCGGGUUGUAAACCGCUUUCGCCUGUGACGAAGCGUGAGUGACGGUAAUGGGUAAAGAAGCACCGGCUAACUACGUG
rnacentral:rRNA from 1 species